GGCGUGUACUGCUUGGCUGGGCCUUACUUCUUGGUGAGCCGGCGUGCCCUUUAUUGGUGUGCGUCGGGGAACCAGGACUUUUUACCUUGAGAAAAUUAGAGUGUCAAAGCAGGCCUAUGCCUGAAUACAUAAGCAUGGAAUAUUAGAAUAGGACGUGCGGUUCUAUUUUGUUGGUUUCUAGAAGUCGCCGUAAUGAUUAUAGGGACAGUUGGGGGCAUUGGUAUUGAGUCGCUAGAGGUGAAAUUCUUGGAUUGACUCAAGACCGACUAUUGCGAAAGCAUUUGCCAAGGAUGUUUUCAUUAAUCAAGAACGAAAGUUAGAGGUUCGAAGGCGAUCAGAUACCGCCCUAGUUCUAACCAUAAACGAUGCCAGCUAGCGAUCCGCCGAAGUUCCUCCGAUGACUCGGCGGGCAGCUUCCGGGAAACCAAAGCUUUUGGGUUCCGGGGGAAGUAUGGUUGCAAAGCUGAAACUUAAAGGAAUUGACGGAAGGGCACCACCAGGAGUGGAGCCUGCGGCUUAAUUUGACUCAACACGGGAAACCUCACCAGGCCCAGACACCGGAAGGAUUGACAGAUUGAUAGCUCUUUCUUGAUUCGGUGGGUGGUGGUGCAUGGCCGUUCUUAGUUGGUGGAGCGAUUUGUCUGGUUAAUUCCGAUAACGAACGAGACUCUAGCCUGCUAAAUAGGCGUACCUUAUGGUAUCGCGAAGGCCCCCGGCUUCGGCCGGUGGGUUUUUACUACCAACGUACAAACAAAU
rnacentral:rRNA from 1 species